CUGUCCGUGAGGUACGUCGGCCUCGUGCCCUGAGGAGAAACUGGAGACGCCGGUCUCUGCUCUCUCCCGCCGCUACGAUGCCGCGCCGGGUCCUGCCAGCCUUUGCGCGAGGAGUGUGAGCGGGAACGGCCCCGACCUGCCCCUCAGAAGCCUGAAACCGAGGCAAUACUAAAGCAAAAGUCUGAUUUCAGCCGUCUCCGCCCCUCAGAGAUUCUCUUUCAACUCCCUCCAGUUUCCUUCCUCAGCCAGAUUUGCUACGACUCUUCACAUCAAAUGAAGCAAAAGAUUGCUGUAGAGAGCUGAACACAGGGAACAAACAAUGCAUUAAAAAGUUCUUUGUUGCAAGAAAAAUGCAAGACAAACAAUAAAGUUCAUAAAAACAUAUACAUUUAUAAUUGUGUCUUCAUUACUAACAGUCCUGAGCAGUUGAAUUGCCAGUUAGUAUGAGGUUUUCAAAACAGGCCUAAAUAACAUUCCACCAUAAAAAUAACAUUCAUAUGUAACCACUGACAAAUUGCCACUUGGCUAAGUUAUCUUGUUUCUAAUUUUACAGGUGUUAGAUCUGGCUUGCUUCAGUCAGCUUCUUUGUCAGUCUCAUCACCUGUGAUUUCCAGUUAAAACUUUAUCACACUUAGAUGAUUGGAAAACAGUAUAGACAUGUGAGGAAAUGAUUCAACUUCUGUGACACGAGCAUUCCUUAAUAAUUACUAGAAAAAUCUCCUGAGGGAACAUAUUCACAAACAUCCAAU
rnacentral:lncRNA from 1 species